rnacentral:rRNA from 1 species
ACUCCUACGGGAGGCAGCAGUGGGGAAUAUUGGACAAUGGGCGAAAGCCGAAUGGAGCAAUGCCGCGUGAGUGAUGAAGGCCUUAGGGUUGUAAAGCUCUUUUACCCGGGAUGAUAAUGCAACUACCGGGAGAAUAACGUCCGGCUAACUCCGUGCCAGCCGCCCGCGGUAAUACCCAGCAGCCGCGGUAAUA